rnacentral:rRNA from 1 species
CAGUCGCCGCGGUAAUACGAAGGGUGCAAGCGUUACUCGGAAUUACUGGGCGUAAAGCGCACGUAGGCGGCUUUGUAAGUUAGAGGUGAAAGCCUGGAGCUCAACUCCAGAAUUGCCUUUAAGACUGCAUCGCUUGAAUCCAGGAGAGGUGAGUGGAAUUCCGAGUGUAGAGGUGAAAUUCGUAGAUAUUCGGAAGAACACCAGUGGCGAAGGCGGCUCACUGGACUGGUAUUGACGCUGAGGUGCGAAAGCGUGGGGAGCAAACAGGAUUAGAUACCCCCGUAGUCCCUGUCUCUUAUAC